GACGAACGCUGGCGGUGUGCCUUAGGCAUGCAAGUUGAACGGUUCCGAGUCGCAAGAUUCGGGAUAGUGGCAGACGGGUGAGUAUAAGGUAGGAAUCUACCUCUUGGUGGGGAAUAAUCCGGCGAAAGCUGGACUAAUACCGCAUAACUUUGCAAGAAAAAAGAGCUUAACUGCUCGCCGAGAGAUGAGCCUGCCCGCUAUCAGCUUGUUGGUAAGGUAAUGGCUUACCAAGGCUAUGACGGCUAGGGGGCGUGAGAGCGUGGCCCCCCACAAGAACACUGAGACACGGGUUCUACACCUACGGGUGGCAGCAACCGGGAAUUUUGCGCAAUGGACGAAAGUCUGACGCAGCAACACCGCGUGCGGGAUGAAGGCCUUCGGGUCGUAAACCGCUGUGGAAGGAGAGCAAGCUCUGAGAGUAUCCUUCUAGAAAGCACCUGCUAACUACGUGCCAGAAGCCUCGGUAAUACGUAGGGUGCAAGCGUUGUCCGGAAUUAUUGGGCGUAAAGAGUAUCGUAGGCGGCCAGUUAAGUGGCGGGUUAAAGCCUGGAGCUCAACUCCAGAGAUGCUCGUCAAACUAAUUGGCUAGAGGAAGUUCGGGAGUGCUGGAAUUCUCGGUGGAGGUGUGAAAUCCGUUGAUAUCGAGAAGAACACCAAAGGCGAAGGCAGGCACUUAGGACUUUCCAGACGCUGAUGAACGAAAGCUAGGGGAGCGAAAGGGAUUAGAGACCCCUGUAGUCCUAGCCGUAAACAAUGGACACUAGCUGGCCGGAGUUAUUUUUCUGGCUGGCGCAAGCUAACGCGUUAAGUGUCCCGCCUGGGGAGUACGGCCGCAAGGCUAAAACUCAAAGGAAUUGACGGGGAAACGCACAACCAGCGUGCCAUGUGGUUUAAUUGGAUACGAAACCUUGAACCUUACCUAGGUUUGACAUGUACCUGCAAACCCUAUGAAAGUAGGGCCUCUUCGAGAGUGGUACACAGCUGCUGCAUGGUUGUCGUCAGUUCGUGUCGUGAGGCGUCCGCUUAAGUGCGGUAACGAACGCAACCCCUGCUACGUGUUAAAUCGUUCACGUAGGACUGCCGUACUUGCAGUACGGAGGAAGGAGGGGACGACGUCAAAUCAGCAUGGCGCUUACACCUAGGGCUACACACAUGGCGUAAUGGGUGGGACAACGGGUUGCAAGAGGGUAACCUUGAGCUAAUCCUAAUAAACCCAUCCUCAGUUCGGAUUGUGGGCUGCAAUUCGCCCACAUGAAGGGGAGUUGGUAGUAAUCGCGGGUCAGCUAUACCGCGGUGAAUACGUUCUCGUUUCUUGUACACACCGCCCGUCAAGUCAACAAAGUCAGCAGUACCCAAAGUCGGUACCCGAAACCGCAAGGAUCGGGCCGCCUAAGGUAAGGUUGGCGAUGGGGGC
rnacentral:rRNA from 1 species